AGGAACUUAUUUCUAUUGUGGAGUAGAAUUGUUUUUACCUUACUUUUGAUGGGCCAGCAAGUAAGAGCCACCUAUAAGUGUUAUAUUCAUGGCCAUGUGCCUCUAUUAUCAAACAAACAUUAUUGCAAAAUAAUAGACCAUCCUUAAAUAAGGAAAAAAAAUUCUUGGAAAACAAUUGGAAUCACAAUAAAAAUUUAAGAAUCACUGCAUUGCUUACUCAAACUUUCAACUGCAAGGGCCAGUAUCUUCAUGACUCUUUUAUAUACUCUAGCUAUGGAAAUACAUUUAUAACAGUGUUUGUUUCUGUUUUCAGGCACUUUUACCAAUCCUGAAGAUUGCAGCCACACAGGCAGAAGGUAGUGGGCUGUCUGUAAAGCGAGCAGCCAUCAUCAACAUCUCCUCAGUGCUCGGCUCCAUAGAGAAGAAUGACAAAGGGGGUAUCUAUCCUUAUAGAGCCAGCAAGGCUGCAUUGAAUGCCAUCACCAAAUCGUUAAGCACUGAUCUCAGGAACUCAAACAUCUUGGUGAGCAGCAUAUGUCCUGGAUGGGCACAAACAGAUAUGGGUGGCAAGAAUGCUUCUCUUACUCCAGAGCAUAUCUAAUGUUCUGCAUCUUCUUAACACCAUGAAUGACACCCACCAUGGGCAAUUUCAUCAACAUGAUGGUGUCAAACUGCCUUGGUGAUAAUAUCACCAUUACCAUCAUCAUUAUUAAUUUUGUUUUUUUGGCAAGUUUCAGUUAAAUAGCAAGUGUUAAUUGCCAUUAACUAGAAUGUAUUACUUGUAUAAAGAACGGUGUAUUGCAUAUCAUCUUAACACAUCUUAAUUUUAACAAUGCAAAUAACAUCAGAAUGUCAAUUCUAGAAGUGCCAACCAACCAAUGUAUUGUGUACACCAUUGGUUGACAGUCAUUUAAAGCAUGAUGUCUAUUAAAAUACAUGAACUUAAGAAGAA